rnacentral:rRNA from 1 species
AGCUCCAAUAGCGUAUAUUAAAGUUGUUGCAGUUAAAAAGCUCGUAGUUGGAUCUCAGGGUGAGCUCAUUUGGUCGGCCUAACUGGUCAGAACUGACUGACUUACCCUUGUUUCUGGAUCCCGGCCGUAGUUGAUUCUGCGGUUGUGGACUCCAGAUCGUUUACCUUGAAAAAUUAGAGUGUUCAAAGCGGGCGUUUGCUUGAAUACAUUAGCAUGGAAUAAUGGAAUAGGACUCUGGUUCUAUUUUGUUGGUUUUGAGGACUAGAGUAAUGAUUAAUAGGGAUAGUUGGGGGCAUUCAUAUUUAAU